rnacentral:rRNA from 1 species
UACAGAGGUCCCGAAGCGUUGUUUCGGAUUCACGUUGGGACGGUAAAGGGUGCGUGAUGGCGGUUCGGGUAAGUCUGAAUGUGGAAAUCUCACCAGCUCAACUGUGAAAACUGCAUUGGAUACUAUUCGGCUUGAGGUCUGGGAGGGGGGACUGGGAAUUCUCGGUGUAGCAGUGAAAUGCGUAGAUAUCAAGUGGAACACCAGCUGGCGAAGGCGAGUCUCCUGGACAUUUCCUGACGCUGAGGCACGAAAGCCAGGGGAGCAAACGGG